rnacentral:rRNA from 1 species
UACGUAGGGUGCAAGCGUUGUCCGGAAUUAUUGGGCGUAAAGAGCUCGUAGGCGGUUUGUCGCGUCUGCUGUGAAAACCUAAGGCUCAACCUUGGGCUUGCAGUGGGUACGGGCAGACUAGAGUGCGGUAGGGGUGACUGGAAUUCCUGGUGUAGCGGUGGAAUGCGCAGAUAUCAGGAGGAAUACCGAUGGCGAAGGCAGGUCUCUGGGGCCGAUACUGACACUGAGGAGCGAAAGCGUGGGGAGCGAACAGG